rnacentral:rRNA from 1 species
GAUGAACGCUAGCUACAGGCUUAACACAUGCAAGUCGAGGGGAAACGAUGAGAGAGCUUGCUCUCUUAGUCGUCGACCGGCGCACGGGUGAGUAACGCGUAUCCAACCUGCCUCUGACCAAGGGAUAACCCGUCGAAAGUCGGACUAAUACCUUAUGCAGUCGUCGGAAGUCAUCUGAUGACGACGAAAGAUUUCAUCGGUGAGAGAUGGGGAUGCGUCUGAUUAGCUUGUUGGCGGGGUAACGGCCCACCAAGGCGACGAUCAGUAGGGGUUCUGAGAGGAAGGUGCCCCACAUUUGAACUGAGACACGGUCCAAACUCCUACGGGAGGCAGCAGUGAGGAAUAUUGGUCAAUGGGCGUAAGCCUGAACCAGCCAAGUAGCGUGCAGGAUGACGGCCCUAUGGGUUGUAAACUGCUUUUAUGCGGGGAUAAAGUGAGGGACGUGUCCUUCAUUGCAGGUACCGCAUGAAUAAGGACCGGCUAAUUCCGUG